rnacentral:rRNA from 1 species
UACGUAGGGACCAAGCGUUGUUCGGAUUUACUGGGCGUAAAGGGCGCGUAGGCGGCUUAACAAGUCACUUGUGAAAUCUCCGGGCUUAACUCGGAACGGCCAAGUGAAACUGUCAAGCUAGAGUGCAGAAGGGGCAAUCGGAAUUCUUGGUGUAGCGGUGAAAUGCGUAGAUAUCAAGAGGAACACCGGUGGCGAAGGCGGGUCUCUGGGCCGAUACUGACGCUGAGGAGCGAAAGCGUGGGGAGCGAACAGG